ACAAAUCUGGAGAUAGCUGGUUCUCCCCGAAAACUAUUGAGGUAGUGCCUCGUGUGUCGCUCCAGGGGGUAGAGCACUGUUUUGGCUAGGGGGACAUGGAGUCUUACCAAACCAAGGCAAACUCCGAAUACCUGGAAGCGUGAGCACGGGAGACAGAGCACCGGGUGCUAACGUCCGGACUCAAAAGGGAAACAACCCAGACCGCCGGCUAAGGUCCCAAAUAACAGCUAAGUGGAAAACGAAGUGGAAAGGCCGUGACAACCAGGAAGUUGGCUUAGAAGCAGCCAUCCUUCAAAGAAAGCGUAAUAGCUCACUGGUCGAGUCCUUCUGCGCGGAAGAUGUAACGGGGCUAAGCUGUUAACCGAAGCCGCGGAUGCGCUGGUUAUCCAGUGCGUGGUAGGGGAGCGUUCUGUAAGUCUGCGAAGGCGGUUCGAGAGGACUGCUGGAGAUAUCAGAAGUGCGAAUGCUGACAUGAGUAACGUUAAAGCAGGUGAAAAGCCUGCUCGCCGUAAGCCCAAGGAUUCCUGCUCUACGUUCAUCGGAGCAGGGUGAGUCGGCUCCUAAGGUCAGGCCGAAAGGCGUAGCCGAUGGGAAUCAGGUUAAUAUUCCUGAACCUGCGUCAGAUGCGAUGGGGGGACGGAGCAUGGAAGAUCAUCCGGGUGUUGGAAGUCCCGGUUGUUUAGCGUAGGAGGUCUGCAGGCAAAUCCGCAGACGCAUCUCCAAGGCAAAGACACGUGCCGCCACGGCGGCGAAGUGAUCGGAAGUGCUUCCAAGAAAAGCCUCUAAGCUUCAGUCUGAUGCGGACCGUACCGCAAACCGACACUGGUGGGCGAGCUGAAUAUGCUCAGGCGCUUGAGAGAACUCGGGAGAAGGAACUCGGCAAAUUGACACCGUAACUUCGGAAGAAGGUGUGCCGUAGUACCGUGAGAGGAGAGACACCUUGAGCGGGAAACGGUCUCAGAGAAUAGGUGGCUGCGACUGUUUAUUAAAAACACAGCACUCUGCAAAGUCGAAAGACGACGUAUAGGGUGUGAUGCCUGCCCGGUGCUGGAAGAUUAAUUGAUGGGGUGAGAGCCCUUGAUCGAAGUCCCAGUAAACGGCGGCCGUAACUAUAACGGUCCUAAGGUAGCGAAAUUCCUUGUCGGGUAAGUUCCGACCUGCACGAAUGGCAUAAUGAUGGCCACACUGUCUCCUCCCGAGACUCAGUGAAGUUGAAAUGUUUGUGAUGAUGCAAUCUACCCGCGGCUAGACGGAAAGACCCCAUGAACCUUUACUGCAGCUUUGCAUUGAACUGUGAACCGAUUUGUGUAGGAUAGGUGGGAGGCAGAGAAGAGGCCACGCCAGUGGUCUUGGAGCCGACCUUGAAAUACCACCCUGAUUUGUUUGCGGUUCUAACCACGGACAGUGAUCCUGUCUUGGGACCGUGCAUGGUAGGCAGUUUGACUGGGGCGGUCUCCUCCUAAAGGGUAACGGAGGAGUACGAAGGUACGCUAGGUACGGUCGGAAAUCGUGCUGAUAGUGCAAUGGCAAAAGCGUGCUUGACUGCGAGAGCAACAACUCGAGCAGAUGCGAAAGCAGGUCAUAGUGAUCCGGUGGCUCUGAAUGGAAGGGCCAUCGCUCAACGGAUAAAAGGUACUCUGGGGAUAACAGGCUGAUACCGCCCAAGAGUUCAUAUCGACGGCGGUGUUUGGCACCUCGAUGUCGGCUCAUCUCAUCCUGGGGCUGUAGUCGGUCCCAAGGGUAUGGCUGUUCGCCAUUUAAAGAGGUACGUGAGCUGGGUUUAAAACGUCGUGAGACAGUUUGGUCCCUAUCUGCCGUGGGCGUUGGAAGAUUGACGGGGGCUGCUCCUAGUACGAGAGGACCGGAGUGGACGCACCUCUGGUGUACCGGUUGUCACGCCAGUGGCAUUGCCGGGUAGCUAAGUGCGGAAGAGAUAACCGCUGAAAGCAUCUAAGCGGGAAACUUGCCUGAAGAUGAGUCUUCCCGGAGGUUGAACCUCCCUCAAGAGUCGUCCGAGACCAGGACGUCGAUAGGUCAGGUGUGUAAGCGCUGUAAGGCGUUGAGCUAACUGAUACUAAUUGCUCGUGAGGCUUGAUCCU
rnacentral:rRNA from 1 species